UAGAUUAUGGACCAUGCCAUUGUCCCACAGCCUCUAAAUCCUCUGGACCCCCACAGGCCCCAUAACACAUAAAGCUAAGUAACUGGAUAAAGGGUCUGCCGCUAAGGAAGGGGACCUGUGGGACCAGAAUCCAAUAAGUUGAAGUGCAGGGAGAGGCGGCGGUAAAGGCUGUCAACGGUGAACAAACGCUUGCAAUCAAGUUCCAGUCCCAAGGUCAUGCCGGAUGUCAGUGUCUAAUGCUUAGGGAAUGAGGCGACAGGGGUCUUCCCCCCUCUGUCACCUCCUGGAACAAAUUCAUUCCUCACACUCCUGGAGCUUCUCUUUCAGUAAACACUUUAAAUCAAAAGUAGACAGUGAAACUCACACUGCAGGGGCCAAUCAUUGACUUCAGCCUUUUGAUAUUAGGAUGGCAGGAGGCACUCAACUGAGUUAUGAAUACCAGUGAAGGCUAUAAAGUCUAUGUUUUUGCUUAUUCUUAGUCUGAAUGAAUUUAGCCAUGUCAGUAUUGAUGAAAUAUUUAUCUAGCAAGGGCAAUGAAGGUUAAAGGGAAGCACAGUACUGAUAUGUUUAUAUACAGUAAAUCCGAUGCGCUCAGACCUUUGAUUAUGAGAAGACCUUGUGGCUAUACUCUUAAUUUGGGCCACGUCCGAGCAGGAGCCGUGAGCCUGAGCUGGCAAGCAUAAAUUUGCGUGGACACUGUUUUGAGGGAAAUAAUAACAUUCACAUCCUGAUUUUUAUUCUCUCUUUCCCCACAUCCACUCCAUGAUUCAGGCAGCCUUUCAGCAAAUCAAUAAUGAGGCCUGUAGCAGCUACUCGGUGUGAGCUGAGGGGGCUUUAGACUUCACAGACCAUAUAUAAGUGCUUGAGUUUUAUGGAGGUGGUGUAUGUGCUUUCCUGGACUGUAAAUAAAUAAAUAGAAUAACGUUAGGGGAACCUUAGAAUAAUUUUAGAAUAUCAUUAAAAUAACGUUAGGGGAAUGUUAAAGUAACUUUAGAAUAACGUUACACUAAAAUAUAAUAUGGUCAAUAAGUUAUGACAACAUACUGUAUAUUUUUAGAUAUU